GGUUGUAGCUCAGUGGUAGAGUGCUUGCCUAGAAUGUGUGAGGCACUGGGUUCAAUUCUCAGCACCA
rnacentral:tRNA from 1 species